GACGAACGCUGGCGGCGUGCUUAACACAUGCAAGUCGAACGAUGAAGCCGGAGCUUGCUCCGGUGGAUUAGUGGCGAACGGGUGAGUAACACGUGAGCAAUCUGCCCUUGACUCUGGGAUAACUGCGGGAAACUGUAGCUAAUACCGGAUACGACACCUUGGGGCAUCCCAGGGUGUGGAAAGAAUUUCGGUCAAGGAUGAGCUCGCGGCCUAUCAGCUAGUUGGUGAGGUCAUGGCUCACCAAGGCGACGACGGGUAGCCGGCCUGAGAGGGUGACCGGCCACACUGGAACUGAGACGCGGUCCAGACUCCUACGGGAGGCAGCAGUGGGGAAUAUUGCACAAUGGGCGAAAGCCUGAUGCAGCAACGCCGCGUGAGGGAUGAAGGCCUUCGGGUUGUAAACCUCUUUUAGCAGGGAAGAAGCGAAAGUGACGGUACCUGCAGAAGAAGCACCGGCUAACUACGUGCCAGCCGCCGCAGUAA
rnacentral:rRNA from 1 species